rnacentral:rRNA from 1 species
CCUACGGGUGGCAGCAGUGGGGAAUAUUGCACAAUGGGGGGAACCCUGAUGCAGCGACGCCGCGUGAGUGAAGAAGGGCCUCGGCGCGUAAAGCCCUGUCUGCAGGGAAGAAAAUGACGGUACCUGACGAAGAAGCCCCGGCUAACUACGUGCCAGCAGCCGCGGUAAUACGUAGGGGGCAAGCGUUAUCCGGAUUUACUGGGUGUAAAGGGGGCGCAGACGGCGAUGCAAGCCAGGAGUGAAAGGCCGGGGCCCAACCGCGGUACUGCUUUGGGAACUACCGGGCUGGAGUGGCGGAGGGGUAGGCGGAAUUCGUAGUGUAGCGGUGAAAUGCGUAGAUAUUAGGCGGAACACCAGUGGCGAAGGCGGCCUACUGGACGGUGACUGACGCUGAGGCUCGAAAGCGUGGGGAGCAAACAGGAUUAGAUACCCGAGUAGUC